rnacentral:rRNA from 1 species
AUAUGGCGACAUAGAGCGGAACCCGAAACCUGUCUCAGUUCGGAUUGGAGUCUGCAACCCGACUCCAUGAAGCUGGAUUCGCUAGUAAUCGCGCAUCAGCCACGGCGCGGUGAAUACGUUCCCGGGCCUUGUACACACCGCCCGUCAAGCCAUGGAAGCCGGGAGUGCCUGAAGUGCGUGAGCGCAAGCAGCGCCCUAAGGUAAAACCGGUGACUGGGGCUAAGUCGUAACAAGGUAUC